rnacentral:rRNA from 1 species
ACGAACUGUGCGAACGUUACUCGGAAUCACUGGGCUUACAGGGUGCGUAGGUGGCUUGAUAAGCAGGGUGUGAAAUCCCUCGGCUCAACCGAGGAACUGCGCUCUGAACUGUCGAGCUAGAGUAUGCUAGAGGUGAAUGGAACAUCCAGUGGAGCGGUGAAAUGUGUUGAUAUUGGAUGGAACACCAGAGGCGAAGGCGAUUCACUGGGGCAUAACUGACACUGAGGCACGAAAGCCAGGGGAGCAAACGGGAUUAGAUACCCCGGUAGUCCUGGCCGUAAACGAUGAGAACUGAGCGGGGGGAGGCUUGCCUUCCCCGGCAGUAGCGAAAGCGUUAAGUUCUCCGCCUGGGGAGUAUGGUCGCAAGGCUG